CCCAUUUAGGAAGAGCUUGCUUUACAACAUUGUCAUCAUCAAUCUUUCUCUUAAAACAUUUGUUAGGAACCUGGUUCCUCUUGGUUGCUUUGUCAAAGUUGUUAUUGCACUGAUCUUGCUUUAAUAGGGGGCAAUCCUUGAUGUACGUCCUGGCUUGCCACAUUUAUGACAAAGGUCAUAAUUUCUUGGCUUGCUAGAACUUUCCCUUUCAAGAAUGCCUCCAUUCGAGUGAACCAUCUUAUGGAAUAUUCUUGUCAAGUAGGUCAUGUCCCCAUCUUCACCACAUGAGUCAUUAUUGUCUGCCUUGAGAACCAGGUUCUUUUCCCUCAUACGGUCUCUUCUUUUAUUGUCCUUCUUCUUCUUCUUCUUCUUCUUCGUCUUCUUCUUCUCCUUCUUCUUCUUUUCUUCGUCGUCAUUUCAUAGGUUUUCAAGUUUCCAACAAAUUCUUCCAUUGUCAGUGUCUACAAGUCCUUAGCCUCUGUAAUGGCGUUAACUUUGCUUUCCCAAGAACUGGACAGUACACUAAGAAUUUUCUGACAAGCUUUGUUUCUCAUAAUACAUUCACCAAGAUAGUGAAACUCAUUGAUAAUGGAGGUUAAUCGAGUAGGCAUAUUUUGGAUGGAUUCAUCAUCUUUCAUUGUGAAGAGCGCAUACUAGUCGUGAUCAUAUCAAUCUUGGAUUGAUUCACAUGUG
rnacentral:lncRNA from 1 species